rnacentral:rRNA from 1 species
ACGCUCGACACCUACGGGAGGCAGCAGUGGGGAAUAUUGCACAAUGGGGGAAACCCUGAUGCAGCGACGCCGCGUGAAGGAAGAAGUAUCUCGGUAUGUAAACUUCUAUCAAGCAGGGAAGAAAGUGACGGUACCUGACUAAGAAGCCCCGGCUAACUACGNGCCAGCAGCCGCGGUAAUCUGAGCGGGCUGGCAAGGC